UACGUAGGGUGCGAGCGUUGCCCGGAUUUAUUGGGCGUAAAGGGCGCGUAGGCGGCCACGCACGUCCGUUGUGAAAUCGCCCGGCUCAACUGGGCGGGGUCAGCGGAUACGGUGUGGCUAGAGCAAGCUAGGGGGCAAUGGAAUUCCUGGUGUAGCGGUGAAAUGCGCAGAUAUCAGGAAGAACACCCGUGGCGAAGGCGGCUCUCUGGGACGGUACUGACGCUGAGACGCGAAAGCGUGGGGAGCGAACAGG
rnacentral:rRNA from 1 species